AGCUAGUUGGUGGGGUAAAAGCUCACCAAGGCGACGAUCUGUAGCGGGUCUGAGAGGAUGAUCCGCCACACUGGAACUGAGACACGGUCCAGACUCCUACGGGAGGCAGCAGUGGGGAAUUUUGGACAAUGGGGGCAACCCUGAUCCAGCCAUGCCGCGUGAGUGAAGAAGGCCUUCGGGUUGUAAAGCUCUUUCGGCCGGGAAGAAAUCGUAUCAGCUAAUACCUGGUGCGGAUGACGGUACCGGCAUAAGAAGCACCGGCUAACUACGUGCCAGCAGCCGCGGUAAUACGUAGGGUGCGAGCGUUAAUCGGAAUUACUGGGCGUAAAGCGUGCGCAGGCGGUUUUGUAAGACAGGCGUGAAAUCCCCGGGCUCAACCUGGGAACUGCGUUUGUGACUGCAAGGCUAGAGUACGGCAGAGGGGGGUGGAAUUCCACGUGUAGCAGUGAAAUGCGUAGAGAUGUGGAGGAACACCAAUGGCGAAGGCAGCCCCCUGGGUCGAUACUGACACUCAUGCACGAAAGCGUGGGUAGCAAACAGGAUUAGAUACCCUGGUAGUCCACGCCCUAAACGAUGUCAACUAGGUGUUGGGAGGGUAAAACCUUUUAGUACCGGAGCUAACGCGUGAAGUUGACCGCCUGGGGAGUACGGCCGCAAGGUUAAAACUCAAAGGAAUUGACGGGGACCCGCACAAGCGGUGGAUGAUGUGGAUUAAUUCGAUGCAACGCGAAAAACCUUACCUACCCUUGACAUGUCAGGAACUUUCCAGAGAUGGAUUGGUGCUCGAAAGAGAACCUGAACACAGGUGCUGCAUGGCUGUCGUCAGCUCGUGUCGUGAGAUGUUGGGUUAAGUCCCGCAACGAGCGCAACCCUUGUCGUUAAUUGCCAUCAUUUAGUUGGGCACUUUAGCGAGACUGCCGGUGACAAACCGGAGGAAGGUGGGGAUGACGUCAAGUCCUCAUGGCCCUUAUGGGUAGGGCUUCACACGUCAUACAAUGGUCGGUACAAAGGGUCGCCAACCCGCGAGGGGGAGCUAAUCCCAGAAAGCCGAUCGUAGUCCGGAUUGCAGGCUGCAACUCGCCUGCAUGAAGUCGGAAUCGCUAGUAAUCGUGGAUCAGCAUGUCACGGUGAAUACGUUCCCGGGUCUUGUACACACCGCCCGUCACACCAUGGGAGCGGGUUCCGCCAGAAGUAGGUAGCCUAACCGCAAGGAGGGCGCUUACCACGGCGGGGUUCGUGACUGGGGUGAAGUCGUAACAAGGUAGCCGUAGGGGAACCUGCGGCUG
rnacentral:rRNA from 1 species